CAAUUUUGAUUGGACUAUGCAUGGACUCGCUAGUCCAGCCAAAAUGUAACUCCAUAAUACCAGCCUAGUUCGGCAAGGGUGGAAACUGGACUUUUAGUUAGUUAACUCUCUUGCCUCGGAAAGAUGUAAAGAACAUCGAUGGAGGAGUUGGUAUACAGUGAAACCCUAAUUCCAACGUCAUCAGGGACUGGCCAUUUUACUCUGUCCAUGUAUUGCCAUUCACAUUACAUAAAACUUUCAAGAAAUCUCGACAUGAAAAAGUGCUUGUUCUUGCAAUUGUUUAGUUGCAACAAACAGUGUUAACGAAAAAGAUAAUCUUGUAUAGUGGUUACCAUAGAGAAAACGUCAAACUGAAGCAAACAUGUUGUCUGAAGUUGUCUAAAAAUAUAUUACUAUUAUUUUUUUUUACCCAAGGUUUGCAGCAUUGGAUCUAUGAUUUACUGUACCAAUACGAAAAGACACAGUCACUCAAUAUAUAAUGUUAUAUUGACAGAUAUAUAAAAUUAAUGUAGAAUCGUUUCCAAAUAUGAUUGACAGUGGUAUUGUUGGGAAACAUCUUUCCUGCAAACAAAAUCUGACAGACCAAUAUAUAUAUACUGAUGUAGGAGUACAGCAAUGCAUUUUCCUCCAUAAAACUGAUGAACAUUUAACCAUCGUUGCCCUGUAUCAGUUAAAAUGAAUAUGAAACCAUUAUUGAUUUGUUGAACUUGCAAGAAGUUUAUUAAAUUUGGUUAAUAUAUUUGCACAUAUAUGCAUAAUUUAGUUUACCUCAGAGCUAUUGAGGUACAUCUUCUGUGACUAUUUUAACAAGUUUACCUGCCUUAGAUAUAUGUAUACAAAACCAUCAGCUGAUGAACCAAAGCCAGAUCUCUUUUACACCAAAGCAUAUUGAAUGUUUAAGUAUUGGCCAUGUGAAACUGCUGAAAUAUUCUCUGCUUCCAGCAUUUGAUAUUGUAGUUUUAUUUUGUUGGUCAGAACUUUAAUGUGUUACCGAUAUUCCAUUGUCAAACUGCUGAAGUUGUGUAUCCCCUUAUCAUGAAGCUUUACUUCCAGCAUCAGAGAGAGAAAGUAUUAUUCAAUUAAACUGCUGACAUCGAUAUUUUCAAAAUUACUACUGACUGCCAGAAAUGGAAAUGCAUUAUUCAUCUGUUGAACAAGAAAUUAGGAAAUUGUAUUCUAUUUCAAACAUGUUUGUACAGGCAUCUUAUUGAUUUUGUUCUUGUAUAUAAGAAUUCUUGCUUGCCAAAAUAUUUGUAUAUAGCCUUGAUACAGUUGUGUAACCAGAGUGACUGGGUUGCUUGUAUUGUUGUUGGAAAUCUAUACCAUUAAGUUGCGGUCUGUGAUAUAGUAGCUGUGAUGAGCAAAUUGUUUUUCUAUUCUAUUGUUCAUGAGCCAAGCCUAUUGUUCAUGAUUCUACUCUAUUCAUGAUUCAAACCUAUUGUUCAUGAUUCUAACCUAUUGUUCAUGAUCCCAACCUAUUGUUCAUGAUUCCAACCUAUUGUUCAUGAUUCCAACCUAUUGUUCAUGAUUCUACCCUGUUCAUGAUUCUAACCUAUUGUUCAUUAUUUUACUCAGUUCAUGAUUCUACUCUAUUCAUGAUUCUAACUUAUUCAUAAUUCUACCCUAUUGUUCAUGUUUCUAUCCUGUUCAUGAUUCUACCCUAUUGUUCAUGAUUCUACUCUGUUCAUGAUUCUAUCCUUUCUUCAUUCCAUUGUUGCAUAUCUUCAUGUUCUCAUGUAAGCCAGUUUUGUUUUGAUGAUACAUGAAGUACACAAUUUGUUUAUGUUGAAAGUAUGACAUGAAACAGUGUUUGCCUUUCUCAGAAUUUCCUACAAAAUAAUAUUAUGAACAGAAGACAGUUUUACAUCAUUUUGUAAAGAAAAAGUGUGAUCCUUGAUACAAAAUCAUACCUUAGUAAUAAGUAGUAUUAUAUUGGUAAUGAUAACUUUCUGUGAUUUGCUGUGAUUGGUAUUAAGCUAUGUGCACAUUCAGAAGCAUUCUGUUCUUUGGCUUGUAUGUUAUUGUUAUGAAGUCCAUUGACACACCUUAAGAAUACUCAGACAAAGGCGGAAAUACUGACAUACAGCCUCUCUGGCUGUUGUCAAAAAUGAAAAUAUUGUGAAUAAAUAAAAAAAAUCACAAAUAUAUUUUAAAUUCCUUUUGCUUCAUUUAACACAAUGUGCCUUUUUUGUUAUUGCUCUGCUCAUAUUUUCAACAAUGUUAUUAUAACAAUACCAGACAUGCCAGAGUGAUGUCAUAAAAGUUAUACCACUCCUCAGUAGUGUAUGUGACAGUAAAAGUUAUCCCUCCCCUCAGUAGUGUAUGUGACAGUAAAAGGUAUCCCACUCCUCAGUAAUGUAUAUGUAUGUGACAGUAAAAGUUAUCCCUCUCCUCAGUAGUGUAUGUGACAGUAAAAGUUAUCCUUCUCCUCAGUAGUGUAUGUGACUGUAAAAGUUAUCCCACUCCUCAGUAGUGUAUAUGACAGUAAAAGUUAUCCUUCUCCUCAGUAGUGUAUGUGACAGUAAAAGUUAUCCCUCUCCUCAGUAGUGUAUGUGACAGUAAAAGGUAUCCCACUCCUCAGUAGUGUAUUUGACAAUAAAAGUUAUCCCCACUCCUCAGUAAUGUAUAUGUAUGUGACAGUAAAAGUUAUCCCUCCCCUCAGUAGUGUAUAUGUAUUUGACAGUAAAAGUUAUCCCUCCCCUUAGUAGUGUAUUUCGACAGUAAAAGGUAUCCCACUCCUCAGUAAUGUAUAUGUAUGUGACAGUAAAAGUUAUCCCUCUCCUAAAUAGUGUAUGUGACAGUAAAAGUUAUCCUUCUCCUCAGUAGUGUAUGUGACUGUAAAAGUUAUCCCACUCCUCAGUAGUGUAUAUGACAGUAAAAGUUAUCCUUCUCCUCAGUAGUGUAUGUGACAGUAAAAGUUAUCCCUCUCCUCAGUAGUGUAUGUGACAGUAAAAGUUAUCCCUCCCCUCAGUAGUGUAUAUGUAUUUGACAGUAAAAGUUAUCCCUCCCCUUAGUAGUGUAUUUCGACAGUAAAAGUUAUCCCUCCCCUCAGUAGUGUAUGUGACAGUAAAAGUUAUCCCUCCCCUCAGUAGUGUAUAUGUAUUUGACAGUAAAAGUUAUCCCUCCCCUCAGUAGUGUAUUUCGACAGUAAAAGUUAUCCCUCCCCUCAGUAGUGUAUGUGACAGUAAAAGUUAUCCCUCUCCUCAGUAGUGUAUUUCGACAGUAAAAGUUAUCCCUCCCCUCAGUAGUGUAUUUCGACAGUAAAAGUUAUCCCUCCCCUCAGUAGUGUAUGUGACAGUAAAAGUUAUCCCUCCCCUCAGUAGUGUAUGUGACAAUAAAAGUUAUCCCACCCCUCAGUAAUGUAUAUGUAUUUGACAGUAAAUGUUAUCCCACUCCUCCGUAGUGUAUGUGACAGUAAAAGUUAUCCCUCCCCUCAGUAGCAUAUGUGACAGUAAAAGUUAUCCCUCUCCUCAGUAGUGUAUAUAACAGUAAAAGUUAUCCCUCUCCUCAGUAGUGUAUAUGACAGUAAAAGUUAUCCCACUCCUCAGUAGUGUAUAUGACAGUAAAAGUUAUCCUUCUCCUCAGUAGUGUAUAUAACAGUAAAAGUUAUCCCUCUCCUCAGUAGUGUAUGUGACAGUAAAAGUUAUCCUUCUCCUCAGUAGUGUAUGUGACAGUUAAAGUUAUCCCACUCCUCAGUAGUGUAUAUGACAGUAAAAGUUAUCCCUCUCCUCAGUAGUGUAUGUGACAGUAAAAGGUAUCCCACUCCUCAGUAGUGUAUUUGACAAUAAAAGUUAUCCCCACUCCUCAGUAAUGUAUAUGUAUGUGACAGUAAAAGUUAUCCCUCCCCUCAGUAGUGUAUAUGUAUUUGACAGUAAAAGUUAUCCCUCCCCUUAGUAGUGUAUUUCGACAGUAAAAGUUAUCCCUCCCCUCAGUAGUGUAUGUGACAGUAAAAGUUAUCCCUCCCCUCAGUAGUGUAUAUGUAUUUGACAGUAAAAGUUAUCCCUCCCCUCAGUAGUGUAUUUCGACAGUAAAAGUUAUCCCUCCCCUCAGUAGUGUAUGUGACAGUAAAAGUUAUCCCUCUCCUCAGUAGUGUAUUUCGACAGUAAAAGUUAUCCCUCCCCUCAGUAGUGUAUGUGACAGUAAAAGUUAUCCCUCUCCUCAGUAGUGUAUUUCGACAGUAAAAGUUAUCCCUCCCCUCAGUAGUGUAUUUCGACAGUAAAAGUUAUCCCUCCCCUCAGUAGUGUAUGUGACAGUAACAGUUAUCCCUCACCUCAGUAGUGUAUUUCGACAGUAAAAGUUAUCCCUCCCCUCAGUAGUGUAUGUGACUGUAAAAGUUAUCCCUCCCCUCAGUAGUGUAUUUGACAGUAAAUGUUAUCCCACUCCUCCAUAGUGUAUAUGACAGUAAAAGUUAUCCCUCCCCUCAGUAGUGUAUAUGUAUUUGACAGUAAAAGUUAUCCCUCCCCUCAGUAGUGUAUAUGACAGUAAAAGUUAUCCCUCCCCUCAGUAGUGUAUAUGACAGUAAAAGUUAUCCCUCCCCUCACUAGUGUAUAUGACAGUAAAAGUUAUCCCUCCCCUCAGUAAUGUAUAUGUAUUUGACAGUAAAAGUUAUCCCUCCCCUCAGUAGUGUAUAUGACAGUAAAAGUUAUCCUUCUCCUCAGUAGUGUAUGUGACAGUAAAAGUUAUCCCUCCCCUCAGUAGCAUAUGUGACAGUAAAAGUUAUCCCUCUCCUCAGUAGUGUAUAUAACAGUAAAAGUUAUCCCUCUCCUCAGUAGUGUAUAUAACAGUAAAAGUUAUCCCUCUCCUCAGUAGUGUAUAUAACAGUAAAAGUUAUCCCUCCCCUCAGUAGUGUAUAUGACAGUAAAAGUUAUCCUUCUCCUCAGUAGUGUAU